AAGGACUCAACUUUCCUGUCUUUUUAAACUGCAUUAUUCCUUUGUAGGAAAAGACCUUAAAAAAAAAUAUGGUCACCAACUACAAACUCUAAAGGUCUCCUUCAGUUGUCAGAAUAACUCUUCUGACAACUCUGGGCACUAACGAGGUGCUUCCAAAUGACAUAAACCUUUUUAAUGGUUUCUUAGACAUAAUUCGAUACAGGAAGAUGCCUGUUCCAACUUCAGUUUAACAGGUUGGAGAUCAAAAAAUCCUACCAUAGGGAGCUUUAAAUAGAGCUAUACUAAUACUUGAGUGGUAGAUGUUAUUAUAAGCAAAUUUGUAAAAAGGAAGUUACUGAUCCCAAUUGGCACUAAAGUCAAGUAUACACAUGUCCUCCAGCAUCUGAAUAGUCCGUUCUGACUUCCCAUAGAUUUUGGGGUAUAAGUAGUGAUGAAGUAUGAGCUAGAACUAAGAGCUUUUUAGAAGCUAUCCCAAAAGUGAGAAGUGAAAUGAGGAUCACUGUCUGAAACCAUAAAAGCAGGAACACCAUGGAGUCGAACAAUUUCCUCAACGUACAACCAGGCU
rnacentral:lncRNA from 1 species